UCCAAUGUGAUUGGAUGAUGGG
rnacentral:miRNA from 1 species